UAGGGAAUAUUCCACAAUGAGCGAAAGCUUGAUGGAGCGACACAGCGUGCACGAUGAAGGUCUUCGGAUUGUAAAGUGCUGUUAUAAGGGAAGAACAUUUGCAAUAGGAAAUGAUUGCAGACUGACGGUACCUUGUCAGAAAGCGAUGGCUAACUAUGUGCCAGCAGCCGCGGUAAUACAUAGGUCGCAAGCGUUAUCCGGAAUUAUUGGGCGUAAAGCGUUCGUAGGCUGUUUGUUAAGUCUGGAGUUAAAUCCCGGGGCUCAACCCCGGCUCGCUUUGGAUACUAGCAAACUAGAGUUAGAUAGAGGUAAGCGGAAUUCCAUGUGAAGCGGUGAAAUGCGUAGAUAUAUGGAAGAACACCAAAGGCGACGGCAGCUUACUGUGUCUAUACUGCCGCUGAGGGACGAAAGCGUGGGGAGCAAACAGG
rnacentral:rRNA from 1 species